GGGAAUCUUAGACAAUGGGGGAAACCCUGAUCUAGCCAUGCCGCGUGAUCGAUGAAGGCCUUAGGGUUGUAAAGCUCUUUCAGCGGGGAAGAUAAUGACGGUACCCGCAGAAGAAGCCCCGGCUAACUCCGUGCCAGCAGCCGCGGUAAUACGGAGGGGGCUAGCGUUGUUCGGAAUUACUGGGCGUAAAGGGCGCGUAGGCGGGCGCUUAAGUCGGGGGUGAAAUCCCGGGGCUCAACCCCGGAACUGCCUCCGAUACUGGGUGCCUUGAGGACGGGAGAGGUGAGCGGAAUUCCGAGUGUAGAGGUGAAAUUCGUAGAUAUUCGGAGGAACACCGGUGGCGAAGGCGGCUCACUGGCCCGAUCCUGACGCUGAGGCGCGAAAGCGUGGGGAGCAAACA
rnacentral:rRNA from 1 species